GAGAGAGAACACUUUCUAAAACAAUAAACUAAUCAACGUCGGAAACCGAAGAAACAACUCGACUUACAGGGCACCGAAGGGCCAAUCGGGCCUCACGCAUUGACAGACAGUCUAAUGGGCAUCGCCGGUUGGUCCUCUUCUAACUGGAGGGGUGCGUCACUUGAGCGGUUUGAGUCUGGGAUCUUCCUGUCUGGGUUGGCGCCCCCCUUUGGGUUGUACCGUGAGGGUGAUCUUUAUGGGCUAUAUUCGGCCUUGUCUCAGGAUGGACCUGAGCCCUAGGACCAUGCCUCAGGACUACCUGGCAUGAUGACUCC